GCCCGUCUUACAUACAAUUCAUUUUUUAAUUAUAUAUAUAUAUACAUAUCAUAUCUUUUGUAACCCUAGAGCUUGAAAAACCCUGAAGCCUGCCGCCUCACUCCUCAGUCCUCAGCAGUGAAAGACCAAUCAAAACUUCUCUCUCUAACCUCUCAUCUCCUCCAUCACCAAACUCGCCUGCAACUACAUCCAUUUGGGGCCUAACCAAAUAUAGAAUAAAUACAGAACAUAAGGAGGCCUUCGCAGAUUGUAGUGGGUUAGCAUUGGGCUUUAACCAUUAACAAGGACAAGGGUCAAGAAACAUGUCUCCUCGUUCAUCAGGUUACUUUUCUGGAAGAAGAGAGUUGAUGGGAAUGGGUGGCGUCGGCAAAAAAAAAGAAGAGAAAGCAAAUUUGUGUUCCAUGCAGUGAGUUUUUGAGUGAUCUUAUCGACCAAUGCAAGACAAUGAUUUUGCUUUAAACCAGAGGAACAUAAAGGCAAACCCAGUUCCAUAUUCUGGAAUUUGAAAAGAUUCCCCUUCUACGACUUCAAGCACACCAUGCGCGAAGGAAAUGAGGUGGCUGAUCAAUUAGCUUCCAUGGGUUUGGAGAUCGCCAGGCGACAGAAUAAGCUUGCAAAUAAUCGAUAUUCUGAGGAACAUGCUAUGGGAAGAUACAGGGAUCUAUUGCAGCACGAAAGAGGCUUGUUUGCAGGUUUCCCUUUGUGGAUGAAGUGCUAGUCCAUUAGUUUGGAUACACUUUUUUCUCUCUCUUCAGUAUUUCAUUUGUUCACUAUUGGAUAUCAAAGCAGUAAGCAGUAGUAAGCCGCAGUAAGAGUAAGAGUAAGAGUAAGAGUAAGAGUAAGAGUAAGAGUAAGAGUAAGCAGUAAGCAGUAAGCAGUAAGCAGUAAUUUACUAUGAACAUGCGUUUCCCAUUCAAAUUUAUCUGUGAGAUGCAUAUGCAUAUAUGAAGAUUGGGUGUAUGAAUGUGUUAUGAGGAUGGCGGCUUUUGAGGAGAAUCAAAAAGGUCGGCUUCUUUCAUUCCAUGUAUGCCAGAGGGUAGUUGAGAAAGUGGAGCUAGAAAAGUUUGUAACAAACCAGUUUGUUGCACUCAUCAAGUCACUUAACCGCAACCACAGUUUCCCAAGCAAAUGGAAAAUCAGCAAAGAGAUGAUCAGUAGUGUCUUCUGCAGCAAAACAAAGAUAACAAAUAACCACCACUGUAUGUCCUCUAUGUCUCAAAUUACACAAGGAUUGGACUCUAAGCAUGCAGCCACUCCAAGAUAAUUUGUGCCAAUAAACAUGAGGCUUGUGAGGUGGUCGGACUGACACCCACACGGUCUUGAAGCAAAACUUACCAUUCCCCGACGAAAUAUAUUCAGUGCAUUGCUUAAGAAGCAGAAAGGGCAGCGAACUCUCCCAAGACUCUAGAGAUGUGCAUAGCAGAUCUAGAGGUCAUCUGGACGAGAAACCUUUAAUCCCACCCUAUUUGGUAUACGGACUUCAAUCAGAUGUGCAUUCACCUUGGUAGCCAUCAUAUUAGAAAAAUAUUCAGUAACAUGAAGAAGCUCUUGCUGGUCUGCAACCAACCUCCUCCUAGCAUCUGAAACCUGAUAUUGAAUGGAACCAAAGGUAGUCUUGUUCCAUUCCUUUAAGACUCGAAAUGUCUAACUGCUUAAGAGAAAGAUGCACGCUGUUUGCUUACAAUACUUGCGGUUCUUAAAGAAGGUUUGUGAUGCUUAAUAUUUCAUACUUUUUGUAUAAUUUUUUUUUAAAAAAAAAUUCACAUUUGCACUUGUAAAACUGUUAUGCAUAAAGAGGACAAGGCUAAAUUCAGAUUCUUGAGUUGAUAAUUUAUUCGAGUAUAUGUAUAACGUGGUUGUGAUACUCUCUAUUAUAGCAAAUCGAGUAUUGCUUGCUCAAUCAUUCAAUUACCGAUGUAGCACACGUUAACCAGAGCAAUUCUAUUUCUGUGAGAUUAUGUCCUUAUUAUUUUCAUUAGGCUGAUAAAUCAUUAUCUCAGGUCAAAGGCUUGGCAAAGCAAUUACCAUGUUACAGGCUUGAUUGGAUCAAUUAUCUAAAAAAAAAAAAAAAAAAAAAAAAGCAUUUACCAUGUGUUGGAAUGGAUGGCAUAGUUCAAUAUUCCAAAGGCCUGAAUCCAGGGUUAGCAUUGGGCUUUAACAAUUAACAAGAACAAGGGUCAAGAAACAUGCCUCCUCGUUCAUCAGUAUUCCAAAGGGACUGGGAAAAGACAACAACUGGAGCGUCGAUCAAUUGAGGCUUCACUAGAUCGUACACCCUCAGCCUUACCCAUUUCUGAUGGGGGCUCAAACUCUACUCGUACACCUACUUCUCAAGUGGGAAAAUCAACAAUAGCGGGUCUUACAAAGUCACUACCUAAGAGGGCUCGUGUGGAGUUUAACGACAAGGGGCAUGCAAUGGGGAAAUUGGAAAUAAAUACAAAUCUGCCCUUCCAAUACUAGCACGAGAGAUGGUGCCCGUAACUAUUGAAUCAUGGAAGGAAGUGCCAAAAAAUUUGCUUGAAGCGAUAACGUACAGAAAGAUUUUGAUGUUGACAACAGUCAUUCCUAUGUCACAUUUCAAAUGAUGGGAGCUGCCUGGCACAGACAUAAGUCAAAUUUAACAAAUAAUUUGCUAGAGGUGGGAAAUAAUCUAUGAAAAAUACAACUCAUGAAGUCUGAAAAUGUGCCCACAAUGGAGGAGUGGCAAAGAUUUGCCCAACAACGUUUAUCAGCGGCGCAUGCUUUGCUAAGACAAAAACAACAAGAGUUGCAGGCUAAAAAUGAAACCCCACACACAAUGAGUCGAAAAGGAUAUAGUGGGACUGAAGUGGGAUGAAAAAAAAGUCAAAAGCACCCGAUGCAAUUUUAAGAGUGGACGUGUGGAUUGAAGGGAUGGAAAAUUUAUAAAUCAAACGGUGGAGGAGAUAUUGAGAAAAAUGCAAGAGUAUACCCAGACAACUCAGAGUUCAGGAUACGAUGAUGAUGCACUCACGGCUGUAAUAGGUCCUGAACAUGGAGGAAGAGAGAGAGGUCUUGGGUUUGGGGUAACACUAAUAAAACUGAAUGCCCAAAAUGGUGCUUGUCGAAAAUAUGAGAGGACGAUUGAUGAAUUGCAACAAAAAUUGCGAAUGCAAGAACAUACAAAUCAGCAAGUGCAAGAGAAAUUACAAAGACAAGAGGAAAGGGAAGAACAAAUGAUGCAACUACUUUAAUCAACCUUUAAUGCUAACUACCAGUCCUCUCCCAUUGCUUCACCUCAAGUCUCACCUUUUGAAGAUUUUGUCGGCAAGAGUUGUGAGUUGUUGCAUUUUGAUGGGUCGGAAUCAGUUGUCGCCAAGGGUGAGAUUGAUUCAACGGAUUCAAAGUCUCUCAUAGGUUCUGCUCUACUUGGUUCCGAAUGUUGGAAAGUAUGGAUCACUGAAAUCAUUGAUGUCAGUGUGCCCUUGUAUAGGCCUGAAAUUCGUUGCUUUGAUUUGAAAGAGGCAUAUGCUAAAACAGCUACAAUUGCAUGGCCUAUCAAGUACAUCAAAAUUUAUUUUUGAGCUUGUAAGCAGGUAUUUUCAUUAUGUCUGAAUGCACUGAGUCUUCCAAAGGGGCUGGGAAAAGACAACAACUGGAGCGUAGCUUCACUAAAGUGUACACCCUCAGCCAUACCCAUUUCUGAUGGGGUUCAAACUCUACUUAUACACCUACUUCUCAAGUCCCUAACCAUGAGGACCAAGCAACAAAGUGGUAAAAAAGGGCAGGGGAAAAUCAACAAUAGCCGGUCUUACAGAGUCAUUACCUAAGAGGGCUCACGUGGAAAGGGCAGGGGGAAAUCAACAAUAGUUACCUAAGAGGGCUCGUGUGGAGUUUAACAAGGGGUAUGCAAUGGGGGAAAUUGGUAAUAAAUACAAAUUUGCCCUUCCAAUACUAGCACGAGAGAUGGUGCCCGUAACUAUUGAAGUGUCAAAAAAUCUACUUGAAGAGAUAUUGAAGGAGAACGUACAGGUAUUUUUAAUACUCAGUUUACAAAUUUUGAUGUACUUGAUAGGCCAUGCAAUUGUAGUUGCUUUAACAUAUGCGUCUUUCAAAUCAAAGCAACGAAUUUUAGACCUAUAUAAGGGCACACUGACAUCAAUGACUUCAGUGAUCCAUACUUUCCAACAUUCGGAUCAAGUGGUGCAGAACUUAUGAGAGACUUUGGAUCCGUUGAAUCAAUCUCACCCUUGGCGACAACUAAUUUUGUCCCAUCAAAAUGCAAUAACAAACAACUCUUGCCGACAAAAUCUUUAGAAGAUGAGACUUGAGGUGAAGCAAUGGGAGAGGACUGGUAGCUAGCAUUCUGUCCCAAGCACAAUAAUAGAAAGAAAAAAAAAAUGUAAAUAAUGCUUCUCAUAAUUAGUGUUAUAAUUAGAGAGAUUUUGUAUCAAAUUUAUAGAGAUUUCUUACAAAAGUUGAUUGAAGUA